AUUUUAAAAAAUUCAAGAAAACUUCAAAUAAUAUCACAAGGGUCAAUGUUUUUCCCUGUUCAUCCAAACAAGACAAUGCCCUUUUACUUAAAAAUGUUUC